AAGACUGGGAUAACUCCGGGAAACCCGGGGGUAAUACCGGAUGGUUGUUUGAACCGCAUGGUUCAAACAUAAAAGGUGGCUUCGGCUACCACUUACAGAUGGACCCGCGGCGCAUUAGCUAGUUGGUGAGGUAACGGCUCACCAAGGCAACGAUGCGUAGCCGACCUGAGAGGGUGAUCGGCCACACUGGGAGUGAGACACGGCCCAGACUCCUACGGGAGGCAGCAGUAGGGAAUCUUCCGCAAUGGACGAAAGUCUGACGGAGCAACGCCGCGUGAGUGAUGAAGGUUUUCGGAUNGUAAAGCUNUGUUGUUAGGGAAGAACAAGUACCGUUCGAAUAGGGCGGNACCUUGACGGUACCUAACCAGAAAGCCACGGCUAACUACGUGCCAGCAGCCGCGGUAAUACGUAGGUGGCAAGCGUUGUCCGGAAUUAUUGGGCGUAAAGGGCUCGCAGGCGGUUUCUUAAGUCUGAUGUGAAAGCCCCCGGCUCAACCGGGGAGGGUCAUUGGAAACUGGGNAACUUGAGUGCAGAAGAGGAGAGUGGAAUUCCACGUGUAGCGGUGAAAUGCGUAGAGAUGUGGAGGAACACCAGUGGCGAAGGCGACUCUCUGGUCUGUAACUGACGCUGAGGAGCGAAAGCGUGGGGAGCGAACAGGAUUAGAUACCCUGGUAGUCCACGCCGUAAACGAUGAGUGCUAAGUGUUAGGGGGUUUCCGCCCCUUAGUGCUGCAGCUAACGCAUUAAGCACUCCGCCUGGGGAGUACGGUCGCAAGACUGAAACUCAAAGGAAUUGACGGGGGCCCGCACAAGCGGUGGAGCAUGUGGUUUAAUUCGAAGCAACGCGAAGAACCUUACCAGGUCUUGACAUCCUCUGACAAUCCUAGAGAUAGGACGUCCCCUUCGGGGGCAGAGUGACAGGUGGUGCAUGGUUGUCGUCAGCUCGUGUCGUGAGAUGUUGGGUUAAGUCCCGCAACGAGCGCAACCCUUGAUCUUAGUUGCCAGCAUUCAGUUGGGCACUCUAAGGUGACUGCCGGUGACAAACCGNAGGAAGGUGGGGAUGACGUCAAAUCAUCAUGCCCCUUAUGACCUGGGCUACACACGUGCUACAAUG
rnacentral:rRNA from 1 species